AAGCAUAUAUCAACCGUGUAUGUAUCAUAAAACGAUCUAAGUGCAAUAAACGUGUUUUAUUGUUGUGAUUGCAUCUUUCGCUGCUAGUAUUGCACAUGUGUCUGCAAACAGGGCGUUUAGCUGUCCUCUUAUCUCAAAAUGCGGAAAUGAUCGUAUAUAAACAUUUCUGCUGUUGACAUGCAAUGAUUUGUUGACCGUUAAAUACAAUAUAUUGCUUUGGUUCUGUUUUAUAUAUAUUUAAAAAACUUAACAGAUUUAGGUGAAAGUUUUAUAAUUCAAGAAAUAUGUUUCGCAUUAACUUUAAUUCUUCGUUUUCUGUUUGGUUCAGAAACUUAUGCAGGAACAAAUUGAUGACUUAAUUGGAAUAUUUAUCAAUGAAUGACGCUCGGACACUGGAUCAAUAUUUACAUUGAAAUUUUGCUUUACUUCACCUUUUCUGAAGAGCGCACUUGCAAUCUCUGAAUACUGUAUCCUUUUAGCGAACAAAGCAGCAUGUGAAGGGAGUUAACUCAUACUAGUAUAUAAUAUAGAUGACAAGUAAAUAUUCAUAUACAUAUAUUAUAUUUACAAAAUGUAUCAAUUUUCCUUUUAUAUCCGAAUUUUUAAAAAAAAACAAA